UGCUUCCUGGGGUGAUCGCUUGCAUGUGAUGUCCCUGAGCCGAUGUUUACAAAUAAGGAUUCUACUUGCUCUCCGGUGUGCACGCCCAGUUUACUGGGAAGCCUAAAGAGAGUGACUUAGAAACCGCCUUGAACCUAAGGGUUCGAGGACUAACACACUGCGUCGACACUCUGGGAAGUCU
rnacentral:other from 1 species